rnacentral:rRNA from 1 species
AUACGGAGGAUCCGAGCGUUAUCCGGAUUUAUUGGGUUUAAAGGGUGCGCAGGCGGCCAUUUAAGUCAGCGGUUAAAUCGUGGGGCUCAACCCCAUUCUGCCGUUGAUACUGGGUGGCUUGAUUGCGGUCGAGGUUGGCGGAAUUCGUUGUGUAGCGGUGAAAUGCAUAGAUAUGACGAAGAACACCGAUUGCGUAGGCAGCUGACCAGAACGCAAAUGACGCUCAUGCACGAAAGUGCGGGGAUCGAACAGGAUUAGAUACCCUGGUAGUCCGCACAGUAAACGAUGAAUACUUGUUUUCGGCGAUAUAAUGUCGGAGGCAAAGCGAAAGCGAUAAGUAUUCCACCUGGGGAGUACGCCGGCAACGGUGAAACUCAAAUGAAUUGGCGGGG